UACGAAGGGGGCUAGCGUUGUUCGGAAUUACUGGGCGUAAAGCGCGCGCAGGCGGCUAUCCAAGUCAGUGGUGAAAGCCCGGAGCUCAACUCCGGAACUGCCAUUGAAACUGUUUAGCUUGAGGACGAGAGAGGUGAGUGGAAUUCCCAGUGUAGAGGUGAAAAUUCGUAGAUAUUGGGAAGAACACCGGUGGCGAAGGCGGCUCACUGGCUCGUUUCUGACGCUCAGGCGCGACAGCGUGGGGAUCGAAACAAGG
rnacentral:rRNA from 1 species